rnacentral:lncRNA from 1 species
CAGGAUAGGAAAAAGAGAAGCUCUAAGCACUUAAAGUGAAGAGAAAGGGAGAUAUAUUAAAAUGACAUUUUACAAUAGAAGUAAAUGAAGGAAAAUGGUCAUGGGGAAUGUAGGACUGACAAGGAUAUAAAAAGUGACCUUUAGCUCCUCUGUAAAAUAUGAGUGAGCUCAUUUGUUGAGAAUGAGGGAAUGUGGAGAAAUGAGGUC